UGAUGAAUUCUCAUGCUGUCCUGUUCCCA
rnacentral:piRNA from 1 species